UGCCAGCAGCCGCGGUAAUACGGAGGGUCCAAGCGUUAAUCGGAAUUACUGGGCGUAAAGCGCGCGUAGGCGGCUUGGUCAGUCGGAUGUGAAAGCCCCGGGCUUAACCUGGGAAUUGCAUUCGAUACUGCUGUGCUAGAGUAUGGGAGAGGGAAGUGGAAUUUCCGGUGUAGCGGUGAAAUGCGUAGAUAUCGGAAGGAACACCAGUGGCGAAGGCGACUUCCUGGCCCAAAACUGACGCUGAGGCACGAAAGCUAGGGUAGCGAACGGGAUUAGAUA
rnacentral:rRNA from 1 species